UACAGAGGUCUCACGCGUGGUUCGGAAUCACUGGGCGUAAAGGGUGCGUAGGCUGCACGGUAAGUCAGAGGUGAAAUCCCGGAGCUCAACUUCGGAAUUGCCUCCGAUACUGCCGUGCUUGAGGACUGGAGAGGAGAUUGGAAUUCACAGUGGAGCAGUGAAAUGCGUAGAUAUUGUGAGGAACACUAGUGGCGAAGGCGAAUCUCUGGACAGUUCCUGACGCUGAGGCACGAAGGCCAGGGGAGCAAACGGG
rnacentral:rRNA from 1 species